GGAUUUUAGGGGUCCAAAACCCGGGCGCUAACAUAAACACCAGGUAUGCUGGGACCAAGUCUCACACAUAUGAUGUAUAGUGGCACAGGAUCGAAUGUCACAACUUUAUAUAUAAUAGGAGUUCUAUACAAAUAAAUAGUUACAUUACAAGGAGACAACGGUCCAGCAACCCAAAGUUGACUGGGAGACGACGACCUAGACCACUCACGAACUCAUCGCAGCAUCUUCCAUGAGCAUCAUCCUGCAGUACCUGGUCUUGACCUGUGGUGUAUGUGAGACAGCAAGAGUGAGCUCACAUACGUUCAUCGCUCAACAAGUUGUGGGGAAUAAUGUGCAUGAACUCGCCAAAGGUGGGAGCUCACGUGAAGUGUAAGGCUUACCAAAGAAGAUGGUUAGAGCUGAGCAUUGCUUUUAAAGUUGGUCAAAAUUUUAUUAGCAGUUACUAAGUAUAAGUAAAUACCAACCCAAUUAAAUAGUAGAACAAAAAGUAACAACUUCACCUGCGAUGCAAUGCAUAUGACAAAUUGAGUUUAAGUUCCAUAAUUUAAUCAUGUGAGUGUCCGAGCCGCUCAUGACCGUGAGCACGGCUAGUAUACCAGUUUUACACUCUGCAGAGGUUGCGCAUCUUUACCCACAAGUCAUGUUACCCAUCUGCCAAGGGAUCGCGACUUCCCAUACACCUCUACCGAGGAGGCGAGGCAGGGUAACACUACGAGGCCUUUACAAAGUUCCACUAGCUUCAGAAAACCCGCUACAGUUUAUAGGAAGCUCCAAUGCAGGAAUCCCUUGCAGGACCGCCAUCACAGCAAAAUCCUCCCGAGGGCCUCCCCAGGAAUCCCUUGCAGGACCGCCAUCACAGCGAAAUCCUCCCGAGGGCCUCCCCAGGAAUCCCUUGCAGGACCGCCAUCACAGCAAAAUCCUCCCGAGGGCCUCCCUACACUGACCACUCCCCUACUGCCCUUGCCCCUUUCGGGUAAGGUAGUCUUCCACUAGCUUUCCUAAUUAAUCGGCCAAGGGCGUCCCAUUAAACCCUUGUGGUAGCACUGUUUUCCCGGGUGGUUCUCCAUGUUCCAAUUAACAUAAUGAUCUUAUCAUGAACAGUAAUAAUAAACAGAUAAUAACAGUGUGAUCAUGAAUAAUGUAUCCUCAUACCCAAAACCACAUAAAAGCACUAGCAAGUACUACCCAAAAAGUUCAGUGGUAAACAAGGUAUAAAGAUAAUCAAACUAGGGUAACCUAUUGGGUCCCAUCAAAAUUAACCUAUGCAGAUCAUUAUGAUUAAUUAGAACAUGAGUGGGUAAAAGAAGUGAUCAAGGGCACAACUUGCCUGGGACUUGAGAUUCCAGGUACCAGGAUGAUCUUCAGGUGACACGUGACCUCACGCUAGUCGUAGCAAUACAAACAAGCAGUGUAUAGGCAAAAUUAACAUCACACCAAACAUGUAAACAAAAUACAUAAUAAUAAUCUACUCAUUAAAAUAAGAUUCUAGGAACAGAAAUCAUUAAUUUUGGAGUUACAGAUUCUAAGUUAUGAAUUGUUGAAGUUAAUAAGCAUCUAGAAUAGAUUAAUCCAAAUGAAUAAUUUUAAUUUAAGUUUUAUGGUUAAACAAUGUUACUAGUUGAUAGACAAUGUUAAUACAAAAUUAUUGCAACUGGAAUUACUCAAUUUGGAGUUAAAAUGAAUUAACUAUGAAUUUCACAAGUUUCUAGCAUUUAUUUUCACAUUAAAAAUCAUUUUCUAUUUAUUUUUACUGGGUUUCCUAAUUCUCUGGACUGGGCCUCAAAUUCAUAAAAGGCCAGGGGGCUCGGAGUAAAAUUCUGCAGACACAGCGAACAGCCUGCAUGGACUGCGGGUUGAAUCGCUAAAAGUCCGAGGGCUCUUUAGAAAGUUUGCCUCGGCGAAGGGGUAUGAGGGCAUGUGGACCGUUGGAUCAGCGGUCAAGGGCCCGGAUUAGAUCGGCGGAAUACUGAACCGGCAGGGUACGGUGACCGUAGGAUCCUGAUUCUACGGUUCAGAUUUAAAAUACCCCGCGAUCGCCUCGAACCCGUACGAUCGCGAUCCAACGCCUAGAAUCGCCCAGGCCGAAUCGGUACGGUGUGGCAUAAUCUGGGGCGUUCAUCGCUGAAUCAAGGGCCACCGUAUCGCCCCCAACUACACCCCGGCUGCCAGGCAUCACCUAGAGAUGGUGGCGCCGCCGCGCGGCGAGGUACGCCGGUGGACGGCCGAAUCAAAGCCACGGCGCAAAAUUGGUCACGGUUGGGCGCAACAUACCGAGGAGGGUCAUUCGAAUUGAUUAAAUAGCUUCUCACCGGUAAUGGAGGUAGCAACAGGGCUACCCACGGCGCCACGCGGAUCCACGGCGGAGGAUCCACCCAACGAGAGAUUUGUGGCGCCCGGUUGUUCCCACGGUCCCGCGGCGCCUCCCCAUGAAAUUAAUGCCCUGGCGAAGCUCCUAAGCCACCUGUAGAGACCGAACGACGGUGUAUCCCGGACUUCAGUGCGACGGCGGCGGAGUACCUAUUGAUUUCGCUGCCUCCCUACUACCCGAGACGGAUGCUUCCGAUGGUGGAGGAGAAGGAUCACGCCAAGGUUUUAUAGCCAGGGAUGGGGACGAGCCCGGUCAGGCCGCGCGACGGGUGCGGGAGAUCCUCCACGGAUUCCGCGGAUUCCGUUUUGGGCGGCGAGUCCGACCCGAGGAAGGAGAAGAUGUUCCUGGUUUCCGGGCCCGGCUGCCAGUGAGCUUGAGCGGAGGACGCGGCAUCGAUGCAUAAGUGAGCCCACGCGUCAGUGACACCAAACCCACGAGCGCGCGGUGGAGGCCGAAUUGUGCUGAGGGGAAUUCGGCCCGCGAGAAAAGCUAGGAGCCGGGCCGAUGAGAGAAGAUCAGGCCCACGAGCAGGUAAGGUCCUUAUUUUUUUUUAUUCUUUUUCUAUUCUCUUCUCAAUUUCUAAUUCCCAUUUCAAAUUCAAGUUUAAAACUCAUAGUUCAAAUUAAAAUCUGAGCCACAGUAAAGUACUGGCCCAAAUAAUUAUAUUUACUUAUUUAUAUUUUUCUUUAUAAUAUAUAUUCUUUUCUUUUUUUUAUUUAUUUAUGGAGGGAAUAAAUAGUCCAUUUCAAAUUCCCUUUUCUAAAUUGAACAUCUUUGGUUAAACCCUAAUUUUGAUUAUUAACUUGCUCCCAUUAACAUGGUUAGUAUUAAAUGCACAACACAAAAGUCCAAAAUGAGGCAUUGAUUAUUUUAUGUAUUAUUAAUUAAUUAUUCUCUUUAAAUAAGGAUAUUCUCUUGUUGGAAUAAGUAGAUGGUCACACAUAUAAUGAGAUAUAUUUUUUUCACCUUAUUUACAAUUUGGGUCUUACAAAUCCUACCCCCCUUAAAAAUAAUCUCGUCCUCGAGAUUAACAGAAAAAAGGAUAUAAUAGGUUUGGUCUAGAAUUUUAGUUUCUCAUUUGGUUUUGGGAAUCAAAGUUUUGUUCAAGUUUUUUUUUUUUAACAGUUAGUAGAUGACAUGAAUAUUGUAUGUCUAGAUAUUUAUUAGGUCAGGUAUGGUUAUGGCAAGUAGAGGUUGUGGCAAGGGUAUAAUAAGGAAAGACUUCAUCCUAAACUAUGGAUCUUGAUUCCGCUGGCGAUUCAACAUGAUCUUUGAAGUCUUGAGUUGAUGUUUAUCCUUCUUUGACAUGGUUGGUCUUCUUUGGCCUUUAUUUCUUGGAGUUGUCAUCCGGGUUAAGGACAUAUGGCUAGGACAUAUGUGAGUAGGAUGGAUUGUAUGGUGUAGGUAGGUUAGAAUCUCUUGCUAGGUUAAAAUUGUGGGGUUAUGCAACUAUUGGAUGGUUAAGGUAGUUGCAUAGGGCCAAGUCUUCUGUUAUUCUUAAUUUAGUGCAGGGUGAACUAAGUUAAGACCCGUUCUAUAGGAGUAGAGUCUAAUCUAUUUCAUCAGUAUUAUCUAACAUGUUUGAUAAGUCACUUUAGAUUAGAUCAGAUCUAGGUUAGAUUGGUGUGACUAGUUUGAUUAGAUAAGAUCUUAUUUAUUUUAGGCUAGAUCAUGGUUGUUACACUUAGUACGAGAUAAGCAAAGUAGUUAGGAUAUGACAAGAUCAGAUAGGAUAGAAUCUUUUAAGAUGAGAUGAAUCUAUUAAGAUAAGAGAAAAUCUUUUAAGAUAAGAUAUAUUUUAAUUAGGAUAAGUUAGGAUCUUUUCACAUAAGAUGGAUCUAUGAGUGUAGGAUAAAAUCUUUUAAGAUGAGAUGGAUAUUGUUAGGCUAGAUACUUUAAUAAGGGAUAACCUAGUUUAUCUAGUUAUUUUUAUAAGCAUUUUUUUCGAUAUGUAUAUGCAGAUGUAAUUGUGGACAUUACUCCACAACCCAUCACACUCAAUCAAAGAUCCAAAUCAGACAAGCAUCAUAAGAACAAACACUCAAGCAUAUAGAAAAAAAAUAGUUUUGUUUUUGUUCCUAAGAGUAGGUCUCCUAUUCCUAAAGUCACUUUAGGCAUGGGAUUUCAAAGUGUGAAAUCCACAUUUAUCUUUAGAAAGAAAAGGUAAGAAUAAUCAGAGUGAAGCGGAAAUAGGUGAGGAAGAUUAAGAGAAGUUUAGAAAAGAAUCAGAGUAGCAAAGGUAAGUAGAUCAUGGUUGUCCAGUUCUAUCUAGGUUUCGUCCUACAGUCAACAUUCCUCUGAUACCACUUCUGUAACACCCGGAUUUUAGGGGUCCAAAACCCGGGCGCUAACAUAAACACUAGGUAUGCUGGGACCAAGUCUCACACAUAUGAUGUAUAGUGGCACAGGAUCGAAUGUCACAACUUUAUAUAUAAUAGGAGUUCUAUACAAAUAAAUAGUUACAUUACAAGGAGACAACGGUCCAGCAACCCAAAGUUGACUGGGAGACGACGACCUAGACC
rnacentral:lncRNA from 1 species